rnacentral:rRNA from 1 species
CGGGACACGUGGUAUCCUGUCUGAAUAUGGGGGGACCAUCCUCCAAGGCUAAAUACUCCUGACUGACCGAUAGUGAACCAGUACCGUGAGGGAAAGGCGAAAAGAACCCCGGCGAGGGGAGUGAAAAAGAACCUGAAACCGUGUACGUACAAGCAGUGGGAGCACGCUUAGGCGUGUGACUGCGUACCUUUUGUAUAAUGGGUCAGCGACUUAUAUUCUGUAGCAAGGUUAACCGAAUAGGGGAGCCGAAGGGAAACCGAGUCUUAACUGGGCGUUAAGUUGCAGGGUAUAGACCCGAAACCCGGUGAUCUAGCCAUGGGCAGGUUGAAGGUUGGGUAACACUAACUGGAGGACCGAACCGACUAAUGUUGAAAAAUUAGCGGAUGACUUGUGGCUGGGGGUGAAAGGCCAAUCAAACCGGGAGAUAGCUGGUUCUCCCCGAAAGCUAUUUAGGUAGCGCCUCGUGAAUUCAUCUCCGGGGGUAGAGCACUGUUUCGGCAAGGGGGUCAUCCCGACUUACCAACCCGAUGCAAACUGCGAAUACCGGAGAAUGUUAUCACGGGAGACACACGGCGGGUGCUAACGUCCGUCGUGAAGAGGGAAACAACCCAGACCGCCAGCUAAGGUCCCAAAGUCAUGGUUAAGUGGGAAACGAUGUGGGAAGGCCCAGACAGCCAGGAUGUUGGCUUAGAAGCAGCCAUCAUUUAAAGAAAGCGUAAUAGCUCACUGGUCGAGUCGGCCUGCGCGGAAGAUGUAACGGGGCUAAACCAUGCACCGAAGCUGCGGCAGCGACGCUGAUGCGUUGUUGGGUAGGGGAGCGUUCUGUAAGCCUGUGAAGGUGUGCUGUGAGGCAUGCUGGAGGUAUCAGAAGUGCGAAUGCUGACAUAAGUAACGAUAAAGCGGGUGAAAAGCCCGCUCGCCGGAAGACCAAGGGUUCCUGUCCAACGUUAAUCGGGGCAGGGUGAGUCGACCCCUAAGGCGAGGCCGAAAGGCGUAGUCGAUGGGAAACAGGUUAAUAUUCCUGUACUUGGUGUUACUGCGAAGGGGGGACGGAGAAGGCUAUG